CGCAGUAGCCUAGUCUUUGAUAAUGCAUGGUGACAGCAGAACGGUCUGGAAAGGCCGGCCACAGUGGGUGACAGCCCCGUAUGCGAAGUCCGGUGCAUGGUACUAAAAAGACGAUAAGUAGGGCGGGACACGUGACAUCCUGUCCGAAGAUGGGGGGACCAUCCUCCAAGGCUAAAUACUCAUGAUCGACCGAUAGCGAACCAGUACUGUGAAGGAAAGGCGAAAAGAACCCCGGGAGGGGAGUGAAAUAGAACCUGAAACCGCAUACAUACAAACAGUAGGAGCCCUACGGGGUGACUGCGUACCUUUUGCAUAAUGGGUCAGCGACUUACGUUUUGCGGCAAGCUUAACCGAGUAGGGGAGGCGCAGCGAAAGCGAGUUCGAACAGAGCGAUAGAGUCGUAAGGCGUAGACCCGAAACCAGAUGAGCUAACCAUGGCCAGGUUGAAGGUGUGGUAACACACACUGGAGGACCGAACCGACUAGUGUUGCAAAAUUAGCGGAUGAGCUGUGGAUAGGGGUGAAAGGCUUAACAAAUCUGGAGAUAGCUGGUUCUCCCCGAAAACUAUUGAGGUAGUGCCUCGUGACUGACUCCGGGGGGUAGAGCACUGUUAUGGCUAGGGGGACAUGGCGUCUUACCAAACCAUGGCAAACUCCGAAUACUUGGAAGUAAGAGCACGGGAGACAGAGCACCGGGUGCUAACGUCCGGACUCAAGAGGGAAACAACCCAGACCGCCGUUUAAGGUCCCAAAUACAGGCUAAGUGGAAAACGAAGUGUGAAGGCUAAGACAGUCAGGAAGUUGGCUUAGAAGCAGCCAUCCUUCAAAGAAAGCGUAAUAGCUCACUGAUCGAGUCCUCAUGCGCGGAAGAUGUAACGGGGCUAAGUCUGUAACCGAAAGCGCGGAUUUGUACGCAAGUACAAGUGGUAGGGGAGCGUUCUGUAAGCCUGCGAAGGUGUGUGGUAACGCAUGCCGGAGGUAUCAGAAGUGCGAAUGCUGACAUGAGUAACGAUAAAGCGGGUGAAAAGCCCGCUCGCCGUAAGCCCAAGGUUUCCUGCUCUACGUUCAUCGGAGCAGGGUGAGUCGGCCCCUAAGGCCAGGCUGAGAAGCGUAGCUGAUGGGAAGCAGAUUAAGAUUUCUGCACCGACGUUAAGUGCGAAGGGGGGACGGAGUUUUGAGCAUCAUCCGGGUGUUGGAUGUCCCGGUUUGUGCGUGUAGGAGGCCGGCAGGCAAAUCCGCCGGCGAAUCUCCGAGACAAAGCAUCGAGCUGCAUUUUGCAGUGAAGUGAUGGGAUGAACUUCCAGGAAAAGCCUCUAAGCAAUAGCUUAAUGUCGACCGUACCGUAAACCGACACAGGUGGGCGAGUUGAAUAUACUCAGGCGCUUGAGAGAACUCGGGAGAAGGAACUCGGCAAAUUGACACCGUAACUUCGGGAUAAGGUGUGCCUUUGUAGUGUGAAGAGUGAAACACUCCGAGCAUGAAGAGGUCACAGAGAAUAGGUGGCUGCAACUGUUUACUAAAAACACAGCACUCUGCAAAGACGAAAGUCGACGUAUAGGGUGUGAUGCCUGCCCGGUGCCGGAAGAUUAAGUGAUGGGGUGAGAGCUCCUGAUCGAAGUCCCGGUAAACGGCGGCCGUAACUAUAACGGUCCUAAGGUAGCGAAAUUCCUUGUC
rnacentral:rRNA from 1 species